UUGGUUCUGGCAUCGAUGAAGAACGCAGCGAAAUGCGAUAAGUAGUGUGAAUUGCAGAAUUCAGUGAAUCAUCGAAUCUUUGAACGCACAUUGCGCCCUUUGGUAUUCCAAAGGGCAUGCCUGUUCGAGCGUCAUUUGUACCCUCAAGCUUUGCUUGGUGUUGGGCGUCUUGUCUCUAGCUUUGCUGGAGACUCGCCUUAAAGUAAUUGGCAGCCGGCCUACUGGUUUCGGAGCGCAGCACAAGUCGCACUCUCUAUCAGCAAAGGUCUAGCAUCCA
rnacentral:rRNA from 1 species